AUUGAACGCUGGCGGCAGGCUUAACACAUGCAAGUCGAGCGGGGUGAUGGUGCUUGCACUAUCGCUUAGCGGCGGACGGGUGAGUAAUGCUUAGGAAUCUGCCUAUUAGUGGGGGACAACAUCUCGAAGGGGAUGCUAAUACCGCAUACGUCCUACGGGAGAAAGCAGGGGAUCACUUGUGACGUUGCGCUAAUAGAUGAGCCUAAGUCGGAUUAGCUAGUUGGUGGGGUAAAGGCCUACCAAGGCGACGAGCUGUAGCGGGUCUGAGAGGAUGAUCCGCCACACUGGGACUGAGACACGGCCCAGACUCCUACGGGAGGCAGCAGUGGGGAAUAUUGGACAAUGGGGGGAACCCUGAUCCAGCCAUGCCGCGUGUGUGAAGAAGGCCUUAUGGUUGUAAAGCACUUUAAGCGAGGAGGAGGCUCUUUUGGUUAAUACCCAAGAUGAGCGGACGUUACUCGCAGAAUAAGCACCGGCUAACUCUGUGCCAGCCGCCGCCGUAA
rnacentral:rRNA from 1 species